AUGGAGUGGACACCAAAGCAGCAGGCUCUCGGCGGCCUCGGCCUCGCCGGCGUCUGCCGGGAGACCUGCCGUGUGAUCCGCCGCGCCAUGCUCCCCAACUUCGUCAACCUGGGUCCCCCGCUGCUCUCCGCGCUCUUGCUCGCCACCUCCGCCGCCAUCCGCGCCCUCUGCUCCCGCGUCCUCGCCGACCUCCACCACAACGGCCCCAGCCUCCUCCGCCUCGUCACCGACCGGCUCGCCUUCUUCCUCUUCGUGGCCGUCUCCACCGGCCUUGUCCUCCUGCUCGUGCUCCUCUGCACCGCCGCCUACGUCUUCUGCGUCGCCUCCCUCUACUGCACCGGGGGCGACCUCCGCGCCGCCGAUCGCGUCCUCAGGGGGUUCCCCACGGUCCAGCUCACGCGGCUCGGCUGCACGUUGCUCCUCGCCGCGGUCCCCUUUCUCGUGGUCGACACCUCCCUCUUCGUCGCCAGCUGCAGGACCUGCUUGGCGCUCCAGCUCCAGGACCUGCUUGCCGCUCCGGACAAGGACAAGAUCAUGCUGACGAUGUACCUGCUCGCAUGGGCCGCGUGCCUCGCCGGCGCGGCCUACGUCGCCGUGGUCUGCCAGCUGGCCUGCGUGGUGUCCCUGCUCGAGGAUGCCAUGCUCUUCCGCGCCCUGCGCAAGAGCCGUGCGCUCCUCGCCGGCAAGUUCUGGGAGGCCGCCGGCGUCUUCGUCACGCUCGACGGCUGCAUCUUCGCCGUGCUGGUGGCUUUCCCGGCUCUGGUGGUGGACGACGCGCUGGGCCUCGGCCUCGGGUUCCAGCUGGCCGCCGGGGCGGCGAUGGCGGUAGUUCUGUGCGCGGUGGUGCUGUUGACGCUGGUGGCGCAGCCGGUGGUCUACAUGGUGUGCAAGAACCACCACCACGAGGUCGUCGACAAGGUUCACCUCGACUGA
rnacentral:rRNA from 1 species